rnacentral:lncRNA from 1 species
UCUCUUUUUCUUAAUUAGAUGCUUAUUACCAUUUCACCCUUCUUCCUACCCUUUUAUAUACCAACCAAAACCGAACCUUCCCUUCACUUUCUCACACACAAGCAUUACCCAUAAUUAUCUUCUUAAUUUGUUUCUACACAAGCAUCCACAUAUCACAGAACAUAGACAAAGAGAGUAAAAUCAGAAAGCAGAGCAAAGCAAAAACCACAAGGCAGACGCAGAGAAAGAGAGUAAAAUCAGAAAGCAGAGCAAAAACCACAAGGCAGCUCAAAAAUCAGCAGACUCAGUAAUUUGUGAGCGAGCACAUAGUAAUUCUUCUUCCUUCAGUUGAGUUUUUUUAAGUAGGUAGAAUUUUUUUACAUUUUAAAUUUAGAUUCUUCUAAA